AAGGCUUGGUCCUGACUUUACUAUCAACUUUAGCAGUACUUACACAUGCAAGUAUCCGCACCCCUGUGAGAAUGCCCUAAGUCUCCCAUCUAAGGAAACAAGGAGCCGGCAUCAGGCACAAAAUUUUUUUUAGCCCAUAACGCCUUGCUUAGCCACACCCCCAAGGGAACUCAGCAGUGAUAAAUAUUAAGCCAUAAGUGAAAGCUUGACUUAGUUAAAGCUAACAGAGCCGGUCAAAACUCGUGCCAGCCACCGCGGUUAAACGAGGGGCUCGAGUUGAUAGCCUUCGGCGUAAAGAGUGGUUAAGGAACAAUUAAACUAAAGUCGAAUUAUCUCAAGGCUGUUAUACGCACCCGAGACCAUGAAGCCCAAGAACGAAAGUAACUUUAAAUACCCUGACGCCACGAAAGCUGUGAAACAAACUGGGAUUAGAUACCCCACUAUGCACAGCCGUAAACUUUGAUAUGAUAUUACAACAUUAUCCGCCUGGGGACUACGAGCGUAAGCUUAAAACCCAAAGGACUUGGCGGUGCUUUAGAUCCAUCUAGAGGAGCCUGUUCUAGAACCGAUAAUCCCCGUUAAACCUCACCCCCUCUGGUUUAUUCCGUCUAUAUACCGCCGUCGUCAGCCUACCCCGUGAGGGUAUAAUAGUGGGCCUAAUUGGCAAAGCCCAAAACGCCAGGUCGAGGUGUAACGUAUGAGGGGGGAAGAAAUGGGCUACAUUUCCUGUCUAAGGAAAUACGAAUUGUAUUCUGAAAUGAUUACAUGAAGGAGGAUUUAGUAGUAAGUAAAAAAAGAGUGUUUUACUGAAUAUGGCCCUGAAGCGCGCACACACCGCCCGU
rnacentral:ncRNA from 1 species